CAGAAUUACACACUGAAAUUAGUUCACCUGCGCAGCUGAGCUCCGGGAACUCUGAAAAAAAAAGAAAAAAGGAAAAGAAAAAGACUAUUGUUUCCGUCCAUCUGUUAAGCAAGAAUCCCAGGAGAUGGUUACAGUCACUGAGAGCUCAGGUUUCUUCAUUCUGAUGUUUGACGUGAACUUGACCUUCAUCUGCAAGACUUUAUGGACUGUGCUACUACCACAUGAUUGGCUGAUUGGAUAAUCGGGUGAAUGAGC
ensembl:lncRNA